rnacentral:lncRNA from 1 species
CAAAAAUACAUACCUCCUUGCCACUGGUCAGUACUAAAUUUGAUUAUCUUUCCUCCUUGGCAGUGUUCAAGAAAAGGUGAGAUAAGCAUCUGUUGGAUGUCUUCUAAGAUUCUUUGCAAGAUGAGGAAACCAAGGCCCAGAAGUCAUACGGCUAAUGGUGUUCUGGACUCGCUCCCCCGUACCCCUCCUUCAAAGGCAGUGGAAACUCCCGUCCCAGAAGACGACAAAAUGACUUUCCAUGGCCUGAAUAAUGUGUUGAGGCGGUUUUGAGCAACAGCCCCGCCCCCUACCCCAGAAAGUUCUGUUUUGUUUGGAUGGGGAAGGAAGUCAGGACAUUUAAAGAAAUAAAAUGAAGUUUGGAGGUUUUUUGACA